rnacentral:rRNA from 1 species
GACGAACGCUGGCGGCGUGCUUAACACAUGCAAGUCGAACGAGAUCUUCGGAUCUAGUGGCAGACGGGUGAGGAACACGUGGGAACAUCCCUUUCAGUUCGGAAUAACGUUGGGAAACUAACGCUAAUACCGGAUACGUCCUUCGGGAGAAAGAUUUAUCGCUGAAAGAUUGGCCUGCGUCUGAUUAGCUAGUUGGUGAGGUAACGGCUCACCAAGGCUACGAUCAGUAGCUGAUCUGAGAGGAUGAUCAGCCACAUUGGGACUGAGACACGGCCCAAACUCCUACGGGAGGCAGCAGUGGGGAAUAUUGGACAAUGGGCGCAAGCCUGAUCCAGCCAUGCCGCGUGAGUGAUGACGGCCUUCGGGUUGUAAAGCUCUUUUGUCCGGGAAGAUAAUGACUGUACCGGAAGAACAAGCCCCGGCAAACUUCGUGCCAGCCGCCGCCGUAAGAC